UACGGAGGGUGCAAGCGUUAUCCGGAUUUACUGGGUUUAAAGGGUGCGCAGGCGGCUAUGUAAGUCAGUGGUGAAAUCUCUAGGCUUAACCUGGAAAUUGCCGUUGAUACUAUAUAUCUUGAAUGUUGUGGAGGUAAGCAGAAUAUGUCAUGUAGCGGUGAAAUGCUUAGAGAUGACAUAGAAUACCUAUUGCGAAGGCAGCUUACUACGCAGAUAUUGACGCUCAUGCACGAAAGCGUGGGGAUCAAACAGG
rnacentral:rRNA from 1 species